rnacentral:sRNA from 1 species
AAUCCCCUCAACACCCCCCCUCGGACCCACUCUACCAUCCGGCCAGCUGGGGGAACCUGGCUCUUCCUAAGUUCCACUACCCUACUACCAUUGGUCCUUGGUGGCCUGGGGUCUUCCUGGGUGCCUAACCACCAAUCUCCUCCACCUUGGUAAGAGAAUGUGCAUUACAGUCGCGCUUACACAGGCUCAUAACCUAUUAGGCCACUAGGGCAAAAGAGCUCAAUCACCACCAGCGCCGUGGUGGUAUAGAGGUCAGUCACUUUACACUCCCAUUCUGAUCCUGAUCCCACUGAAAAUCACGCCAAGAAAUGGACUGGGACCAAACCAAACCAAACCAAACAUGAAAUUCAUGGUCCCACCGGCCAGCCUAUUUGUAUAAGAAGAGCUGCAAAGCUUAGAAGCUUUGAACAGCUCAAGCAAUCUUUGAAUCACAAUAUUUCACUGUGAAAUAACUUCUGAUAUUUUUUCAUUCUGAUUUUCUUUCUAUAAGAACUUUUUUUUUACAAUCUUUUCUUCUGAUUUUUUUUCUCUUUCUUUUCUUAAUCAAUUUGUAAUUUGUAUUUAGGAUAGUGCUAGA